UCGUAACAAGGUUUCCGUAGGUGAACCUGCGGAAGGAUCAUUACUGAGUAUUUGUCUUUUUUAGACAUCUCUCUAUCCAUAAACUCUUUUUUAUAAAGACAUGAUUUAUAACAAUUAGUCUGAAUGAUUAUUUUUAAAUCUUCAAAACUUUCAACAACGGAUCUCUUGGUUCUCGCAUCGAUGAAGAACGCAGCAAAUUGCGAUAAGUAAUGUGAAUUGCAGGAUUUUGUGAAUCAUCGAAUUUUUGAACGCACAUUGCACCUUCUGGUAUUCCGGAGGGUAUACCUGUUUGAGCGUCAUUUAUAUACUCAAAACUUAUGUUUUGGUUAUGGGCACGCAUCUGGCGUCAGCUAGAUUUGCCUGAAAUAUAGUGGUAGAGAUCGCUAGAAGUGAUGCAAGUUAGCCAAUGCUAUUAAAAUUAAUUCGUUGGCGACGCAUGUUGAGCUUUUGGUGACGUCUUCCUUAAUUAUUGGAAUAUUAUUCUAAUUUUGACCUCAAAUCAGGCAGGAGUACCCGCUGAACUUAAGCAUAUCA
rnacentral:misc_RNA from 1 species